CAUAGUUACAUAGUAGGCAAGGUUAAAUAAAAAACACUGGUCGAUCUACUUCAACCUAUGUGUAUAUGCAUGUGUGUGUGUGUGUGUGUGUGUGCGUGUGUG